rnacentral:lncRNA from 1 species
UAACGAAUCUGGGAAAUCUAUGACUUGGAUCUUGUAGACGAAAUACCAGACUACAAUAACCAACAAUCAUUACUUCUAAACAACAUCAGAUCUGGGAGAAAUUAGCCAUCAAAGUAGCUAUCAGAGCUGUUCUUCGUGAAGAACAGUUCGUGAUGCCUACUUUGGGCCUCUAUAACUUGACGAUCGUGUAACGUUUAUGUGAUCUAUCAACUCCAGUGUGUAGACAACAUAUAGGACUACAACUUUAACACUUAACAUCAUCAUAACAACAAGAAAUCAAGCAGCUAAAGUAUGGU